GACGAACCGAGCGAACGUUGUUCGGAAUCACUGGGCUUAAAGGGCGCGUAGGCGGGCUGUCAAGUCUGGGGUGAAAUCCCGCGGCUCAACCCGUGGAACUGCCUCAGAUACUGACGGUCUCGAGGGAGGUAGGGGCGAGCGGAACUGAUGGUGGAGCGGUGAAAUGCGUUGAUAUCAUCAGGAACUCCGGUGGCGAAGGCGGCUCGCUGGACCUCUUCUGACGCUGAGGCGCGAAAGCCAGGGGAGCAAACGGG
rnacentral:rRNA from 1 species